GCCUUCUCCUCUCAGGCUUUUCAAUCCUAGAGGUGAAGGAAGAAGGAGCCAGCUCUGUGACCACGAAUUUCCACCCAAUUUUAUUGAUUCUCAAGAGCAUCCAAACAAGAAGCAGGCCCUCCUCACAUUGACGAUGAGAGCUUUGGUCCACAGUACAGUGGGGAUGGUGUGGUGAAGGGUUUAGGAGAAGGACUCUGGGUGUGAUGGACACGUGGGUUGCUUCCAUCUCUUGGCCAUUGAGAAUAGUGCUGCUGUGAACAUGGUAGGUUGUUAACUAUUUGUAAGCAAACAAAUCUUUUUCUUUUCUUUCCUUCA
rnacentral:lncRNA from 1 species